CCUACGGGAGGCAGCAGUGAGGAAUAUUGGUCAAUGGGCGCGAGCCUGAACCAGCCAAGUAGCGUGAAGGAUGACUGCCCUACGGGUUGUAAACUUCUUUUAUAAAGGAAUAAAGUGAGGCACGUGUGCCUUUUUGAAUGUACUUUAUGAAUAAGGAUCGGCUAACUCCGUGCCAGCAGCCGCGGUAAUACGGAGGAUCCGAGCGUUAUCCGGAUUUAUGGGGUUAAAAGGGUGCGGAGGGGGAAUGCCAAGUCAGUGGUAAAAUCGCGGGGCUAAACCUUGCUCCGCAGUUGAUACUGGCGAUCUAGAGUGGGCGAGAGGUAUGCGGAAUGCGUGGUGUAGCGGUGAAAUGCAUAGAUAUCACGCAGAACUCCGAUUGCGAAGGCAGCAUACCGGCGCCCAACUGACGCUGAAGCACGAAAGCGAGGGUAUCGAACAGGAUUAGAUACCCUGGUAGUC
rnacentral:rRNA from 1 species